AGUGCUUGCACCCUUUGGACGUCGACCGGCGCACGGGUGAGUAACGCGUAUCCAACCUGCCCUUUACUUGGGGAUAACCCGUUGAAAGACGGACUAAUACCCAAUGAUAUUCAUUGAUGACAUCUGAUUUGAAUUAAAGAUUUAUCGGUAUAGGAUGGGGAUGCGUCUGAUUAGCUUGUUGGUGAGGUAACGGCUCACCAAGGCAACGAUCAGUAGGGGUUCUGAGAGGAAGGUCCCCCACAUUGGAACUGAGACACGGUCCAAACUCCUACGGGAGGCAGCAGUGAGGAAUAUUGGUCAAUGGACGAGAGUCUGAACCAGCCAAGUAGCGUGCAGGAUGACGGCCCUAUGGGUUGUAAACUGCUUUUGUUUGGGAAUAAUCGACAUUACGUGUAAUGUUUUGCAUGUACCAUUCGAAUAAGGACCGGCUAAUUCCGUGCCAGCAGCCGCGGUAAUACGGAAGGUCCAGGCGUUAUCCGGAUUUAUUGGGUUUAAAGGGAGUGUAGGCGGUUGGUUAAGCGUGUUGUGAAAUGUAGAUGCUCAACAUCUGACUUGCAGCGCGAACUGGCUGACUUGAGUACACACAACGUAGGCGGAAUUCAUGGUGUAG
rnacentral:rRNA from 1 species